rnacentral:tRNA from 1 species
GUGGUUGUGGCUCAGUGGUAGAGCGCUUGCCUAGCAUGUGUGAGGCACUGGGUUUGGUUCUCAGCACCACA